UCCUACGGGCGGCUGCAGUGGGGAAUAUUGGACAAUGGGGGGAACCCUGAUCCAGCCAUGCCGCGUGUGUGAAGAAGGCCUUAUGGUUGUAAAGCACUUUAAGCGAGGAGGAGGCUACUUUAGUUAAUACCUAGAGAUAGUGGACGUUACUCGCAGAAUAAGCACCGGCUAACUCUGUGCCAGCAGCCGCGGUAAUACAGAGGGUGCGAGCGUUAAUCGGAAUUACUGGGCGUAAAGCGUGCGUAGGCGGCUUAUUAAGUCGGAUGUGAAAUCCCCGAGCUUAACUUGGGAAUUGCAUUCGAUACUGGUGAGCUAGAGUAUGGGAGAGGAUGGUAGAAUUCCAGGUGUAGCGGUGAAAUGCGUAGAGAUCUGGAGGAAUACCGAUGGCGAAGGCAGCCA
rnacentral:rRNA from 1 species